rnacentral:rRNA from 1 species
UACGUAGGGGGCAAGCGUUGUCCGGAUUCAUUGGGCGUAAAGAGCUCGUAGGCGGUUCGGCAAGUCGGGUGUGAAACCUCCAGGCUCAACCUGGAGACGCCACCCGAUACUGCUGUGACUUGAGUCCGGUAGGGGACCACGGAAUUCCUGGUGUAGCGGUGAAAUGCGCAGAUAUCGGGAGGAACACCGGUGGCGAAGGCGGGUCUCUGGGCCGAUACUGACGCUGAGGAGCGAAAGCGUGGGGAGCGAACAGG